rnacentral:tRNA from 2 species
GGCUCGGUACCUCAGUUGGUAAAGUACUCGUCUAGCAUACAGAAGUCGUGGGUGCGAAUCCCACCUGGGUUG